GAGGGGGAAAAAAACAAUAGGCUUAACUAUUGCAAUUUGUGCUUCACUGAAACUUUGAAUUGUUGUACCCAUUAAUAAUUAUAUAAUAUUUUGUACUGUAGAUGAUAGUCAGUAAUGAGGAAGUAAACAUCAACAGCUCUAGACAGUAACUAUCAAGAAGAUUCCAAUUCUGAGUCAAACUCCACUGGACAGAAGCAGCUGGACAACAUUUUUAAGUGAUUUCAGAAGCUUGAGCACAAAAUCAUCUCUCUGAUGAAGAAAGAGCUGAAGAGCUUCAAGAGACUACUGAGCCCAGAUUCCCCAGCAUGCUCUGAGAGAGAGGAGGAGGAUGAUGAAGGUCAGAGAAGAGUCAGAGAGGGGCUUCUGAAGAUCACACUGGACGUCCUGAGGAAGAUGAAGCAGACAGACCUUGCUAACACACUACACACUAGUAAGAGUCAUGUGACUAUUACAUCACUUAAGGUUCAGAGGAAACAAACAGUGGGCAUUAUUCAUCAUGAAACACAAUCAGAACAAAUUUCUAAAUUAUGACAUUUGUUGCGUUCAAUUCAAUGCAGCAAUUUAUGUACUAAAGGAAACAUAUUACAUGUUAAAUAAUAUUCAACAACAUUUAAUCAUGAAGCCUUUUUUGUUCAUCUCAUGUUAAUGUUCAGGGAGUUAUCUUCCUUUAUUUAUUUGAGUUGUCUCAUGGAAUUUAUGAUUUUACAUGGUGAUCUGUAAUUUGUAUGUGUAUAAAUACUGAGUCCAUAAAUACUUGCCCCUUUAUGUCUGAAAAAACACAACUCCAGACUAAAUGAUCAAUUUAAGAGAAUUAAUGUAGGAAUCUCACAUCAUGGAAGCUCAACACUUGUGAAUGAGAUCUUCACAGAUCUGUACAUCACAGAGGAAGGGAGUGGAGAGGUCAAUAUUCAACAUGAGGUGAGACAGAUUGAGACAACAUCCAGUAGACCAGAGACACAGGAAACACCAAUCAAAUGUAAAGACAUCUUUAAAGCCUUACCUGGACAAGACAAACCCAUCAGAACUGUGCUGACUAAAGGAGUUGCUGGCAUUGGAAAAACAGUCUCUGUGCAAUAGUUCAUUCUGGAAUGGGCUCAAGGAAAUCAAGGGGAAUCUGCUUCCUUCUGCUCUGCUCUGGGUAACCUCUCGACCAGCAGCAGCCAAUCAGAUUCCUCCUGAGUGUGUUGACCAGACCACAGAUGUACAAGGGUUCAAUGACCCUCAGAAGAACGAGUAUUUCAGGAAGAGAAUAAAUGAUGAGAGUCUGGCCAAUAGAAUCAUUACACACAUGAAAUCAUCAAGAAGCCUGUACAUCAUGUGUCACAUACCAGUCUUCUGUUGGAUUUCAGCCACUGUCCUUAAGAGACUGUUGAAUGAAGCAGAGCAUGCAGAGAUCCCCAAGACUGCUCACACACUUACUGAUCUUUCAGACCAAACUGAAGACACAUAAGUAUGAUGGGAAAUGUGAGGUGGACCUUCAGCAGGCUAGAAAGAGUAUUCUAUCACUGGGAAAGCUGGAAAAAGGGAACCUGAUCUUCUAUGAGGAGGACCUGAGAGAGUGUGGCCAUUACGAGGACAUUUUUUAAGUUACAAACAGGCUGUGCAGCUGCAAUAUUGGAGAGAAAGGUUGUGCUGCUCUGGCUUCAGUUCUGAGAUCAAACCCCUCACACCUGAAAGAACUCGAUCUGAAUUAUAAUAAUCCAGGACAUUCAGGAGUGAAGAAACUACAUAUCUAAAUUAGCCUGUAAUAAUCAUCUACAACAACUUCCUUUAGUCAGUAACAAGAGCUGUUUACUGUCUCUACUGAACGAACAUCAGCACUGUCCCGUCUGUCAGAGUCGCAAACAUUUAUAGAAAUGUCUGCAUCGAUGCACAAGCAGAAAAGUGAAAUAGAGUUGCAUUGUAUGAUUUUGUGCUGUGCUCUCUUUUACUGUGACAGUCAUAUGAUGUUAGAGGACACACAUAUAUUAAUCUACAGUCGAUCUUCAUUAUAUAUUAUAUCUUAUAUAAUAUAUUUAUAUAUCUUAUAUAUUAAUAUUAUAGAUUAAUAUAUUAUGAUAUAUUAAUCUUCAGUCUAAUCUACAGUCAUGUACAUUCAGUCAUAUUUAAUUCAAUAACUGUACAUACCCCUACAUUCUACCUUGCACAUAAUGUAUAUUACCACUUGCACAUGUACAUACGCCCUUCUGUGUUAUAUGUCCUAUUUUAUUUAUUUAUUUUUUUGUAUUUAUUUAUUUAUUUAUUUUUUGUAUGUCUGUUUAUACUCUUACCUUGUUUUAUAUUCUGUGUUUCACUGUAAUGUUCUGUGUGCACUUGCUUGUUUCACCUAUCACCAAAAAAAAAAUCCUUGUGUAUGUGAGCACACUUGGCAAUAAAGCUCAUUCUGAUUCUGAUCUUUUAACAAAGAACAAUCACUGAUGUAAAUUACUAUGCAUU